CGGGGAAAAGCUGAAGUCGUGAAAGCCCUCGAGGGCCACAACUUUUACGAGUGUCUGGGAGCCGUGGGCGAAGAAGGUCGCCGCCGACACCGUGAUCGUCGUCACUCAAAAACAGUUUCGAGCACAGGCGUGGCUCUGUGGUAGAACACUUGAUU
rnacentral:lncRNA from 1 species